rnacentral:lncRNA from 1 species
UCUGGAUGUCGGAUCACCAUUGCUAGAUGGUUAUAUCGAUUGAUUCAGGAAGGUGUUCCUAUGCUACUAGUUUAGCUUCGAACCUAUGAGGUCACACUCAAAAAAAGUUUCUGACUGAUAAUGUGGCUGAUCAAUAAUUGAGAAUCGUUUAAGGGCUUAAUUGUCAAUUCGAUUGAUGGUUAACCUUAUGCAAAAGUUACAAUAAAUUAAUUAACUA